CUCUCGCGACAUUCGACAGGCUUCAGCCCCGCCUACCGAGCGUGCGCCGUGGGUGCGGCUGCUGAGGCGAGGCUCGGAACCGCAGGAGUUGACAAACUGUAUCGAAUGUGAAAUGUGUGCCAGGCAUGGAACCACACGUUGACGACAGCAAGGACAAAUAGGAUACAGCUUCCCGGGUACGGGCUGUGCUCUUACACAUUGACCUGUGCCCUCUAUGCUGAAAACUUUUAAAGCUGUAAAAUGUACAUCUCGCGCACAUCAAAGAUGGUGACAGAGAAGAAUUAAGAAAGACAGCAUGUCCAGAGGAGCAAGGGACAAGAUCUAAAUAAUUUCGUGAAAUGUUCCUUGAUCGCAAGAUUUCCGCAGAAGUGUUCAAGCCUGUGAUAUGUAUUCUUGUGCACUGAGACAUCCAGAAUAUCAUAGCCUGUCCUUAACUGUGCAGAAGACCAAGCCACUGAGUAAAUGCAAAUCCUUUGACAUUUUUAUUUGUUUCUUAAAAACCCAAAUAAAAAUUUCAAUUUCAUCAUUCA